GAUGAACGCUGGCGGCGUGCCUAAUACAUGCAAGUCGAGCGAACAGACGAGGAGCUUGCUCCUCUGACGUUAGCGGCGGACGGGUGAGUAACACGUGGAUAACCUACCUAUAAGACUGGGAUAACUUCGGGAAACCGGAGCUAAUACCGGAUAAUAUAUUGAACCGCAUGGUUCAAUAGUGAAAGACGGUUUUGCUGUCACUUAUAGAUGGAUCCGCGCCGCAUUAGCUAGUUGGUAAGGUAACGGCUUACCAAGGCAACGAUGCGUAGCCGACCUGAGAGAGUGAUCGGCCACACUGGAACUGAGACACGGUCCAGACUCCUACGAGAGGCAGCAGUAGGGAAUCUUCCGCAAUGGGCGAAAGCUUGACGGAGCAACGCCGCGUGAGUGAUGAAGGUCUUCGGAUCGUAAAACUCUGUUAUUAGGGAAGAACAAAUGUGUAAGUAACUAUGCACGUCUUGACGGUACCUAAUCAGAAAGCCACGGCUAACUACGUG
rnacentral:rRNA from 1 species